GAUGAACGCUGGCGGCGUGCCUAACACAUGCAAGUCGAGCGGCAGCGCGAGUAGUUUACUACUUGGCGGCGAGCGGCGGACGGCUGAGUAACGCGUAGGAAUGUGCCCCAAAGUGAGGGAUAAGCACCGGAAACGGUGUCUAAUACCGCAUAUGGUCUUCGGAUUAAAGCUUCGGCGCUUUGGGAACAGCCUGCGUCCGAUUAGGUUGUUGGUGAGGUAAUAGCUCACCAAGCCGACGAUCGGUAGCUGGUCUGAGAGGAUGAUCAGCCAGACUGGAACUGAGACACGGUCCAGACUCCUACGGGAGGCAGCAGUGAGGAAUCUUCCACAAUGGGGGCAACCCUGAUGGAGCAACGCCGCGUGCAGGAUGAAGGCCUUCGGUCGUAAACUAGCUUUAUUAGUGAAGAAUAUGACGGUAACUAAUGAAUAA
rnacentral:rRNA from 1 species